GGGAGCAGGCUGGGGUAAAAUCCCCCUUAGAGGCUUCUCCUCAGCAUCCUUGUGGUGCAGCCCUGCAGCUUCAGUCUCUGCUCUCCGCCCCGCCACCUCUUUCCUCGAGGUAUUGAACUCAUUGCCCCUGCUCAUGCACAUCCCAUGGGUGGCUGCGACGUCCUGCGUGCACAGAGGUCCUUCAUGGCCUUGAAUAAUGAGCUGUUGGCUGAGCACAUCACAGGCUGGGACCCAGACCAGCCUCCCCGAGAUCUGACUGAUGCUUUCUUGACUGAGGUGCAUCAGGGGACUAUCCUCCUCGCCAACCUGUCCUCAGUGCUGAAGGAUGAGACUGCCUGGGAGAAGCCCUUCCACUUCCUGGACAUUUCCUGGACACUGAGGCUGCUUUGUGAAAUGUGAGGCCUUCUUCCCAUUCUCUGCAGGUGAUUGUAGUGGACCUGGCUUGCUUCCAGGGUGCCGUGGUGGGAAGGAGCUCAGGCCUCUGUCUAAAUGAGCCUUGUCCCCUCCCACAGGGCACCGCAUGUGCCUCGGGGACCCCUGGCCCGCAUGGCCUCUUUUUC
rnacentral:lncRNA from 1 species